rnacentral:rRNA from 1 species
GAUCAUGGCUCAGGAUGAACGCUGGCGGCGUGCCUAACACAUGCAAGUCGAGCGAAGCACUUUGCUUAGAUUCUUCGGAUGAAGAGGAUUGUGACUGAGCGGCGGACGGGUGAGUAACGCGUGGGUAACCUGCCUCAUACAGGGGAUGACAGUUAGAAAUGACUGCUAAUACCGCAUAAGACCACAGCACCGCAUGGUGCGGGGGUAAAAACGUCCGGU